GACAGAGGGUGCAAACGUUGCUCGGAAUCACUGGGCGUAAAGGGCGUGUAGGCGGGAAGGAAAGUCAGAUGUGAAAUCCCUGGGCUCAACCCAGGAACUGCGUCCGAUACUGGUUGGCUUGAAUCCGGGAGAGGGAUGUGGAAUUCCAGGUGUAGCGGUGAAAUGCGUAGAUAUCUGGAGGAACACCGGUGGCGAAGGCGGCAUCCUGGACCGGCAUUGACGCUGAGGCGCGAAAGCCAGGGGAGCAAACGGG
rnacentral:rRNA from 1 species